ACCUGACUUCCUGUUGGUGUUGCUGAGCUUAGUUGCGGGUUACUUUUCCGAAGCCUCCAUCGCAGCUGGUAGGUGUUUACUCAUUGUAGUGUAUAUAUUACUUUGCUUGAUGGUAAACAGCUAUUGUUUGUAGGUCGUAGCUGUAGAAGCCUCCUCUGAGCCAUUCUGCUUACGUUUUAUGACACGGCUUACUUGAUGCGGAGUGCCGACGUGGAGGAGACCAGGGUGCCUUGGUGGUGGGAUCCUCUGAGUGUACACACCUGCCUUGUUUAAUUUAUAGUGCCGCACAAGGGCUCCUUGCUGAGGUGUACCUGCCACGGCUAUCAAUAGAGUGAGUCGUCAUGGGCUAGCUAAUGCAGCCCACUCCCACUGAGGUAAUCCUUCAGAGGCAUCCCACGGCCUGAGAGAAAUGUCAGAGCGCUGCUGUGAGGAUCAGUCUGAACUUGCAUACAGAGAUAGAGAUAUAUCUUAUUUAAGCCUGAUUUAAUUUGGGCUGCUUGGCAAUGGUGAGGGAAAGUGUUGUGUGCAGAACAGAGGGUGGGAGCUGGGGAUGCGAAAAGUCUGUCUUUAUUUAGAGAAACUGGCUUUGGUACAACACAGGCCAGAUGCACGGCAAAGUGAACUGACAGAUGUAGUGGUCACAGAUAUUUCUCUGCUCAGAUUACCACCUGUACUAGUUCGACCAUAUGAAUAUUUAGUGAAUGCUGAAGUGCCUUCUUUAGUACGCCUUCCACAAACAACUGUAUUCUGCCACACUGGAUUUCUGGCACAAUUUGAAAGCGUAACAUUGAUAAUUCAUUUCUCAUACAGAGAGGGAGAAGCUCAAAACUUAUUAAUAAAACUUUGUGAAACAUGUGGUUUCACAGUUGUGUUCGGCUCCCUGCUGGGACCACUCAGAGAGGUUCCACUGGAUACCGUGGGUUUAUCUAAAGUCUUCUAACAAGUGCUACAAAUGGCUAACAAAGGUUACUGAUAACACUAAUCAGAACAAAUUCUUCUCAUUUAUUUCUUUGUUUCUUAUAUUUUAAUUGAUUUGCAAUCAAUCUGGAAAUUAAAUUGAUGAUUAAAUUAAACUUAAACUUGUGGUAGUUAAUUUGUGAGCUCACUCUAAAUCUCCUUGGUCAUGAAUUCAAGAAAGCACACAAAUCGGUGACCAUCUGCCAAAACCUGACAUGCUUCUGUAUCAAUAAGAGAAUCAAAAAGGAAUCAAAUUGAUAAGUGAUAUCGAUAAUGUAAACGGAAUCACUAAAUUCUUAUCGAUUCCCAUCUGUAGAUGUAAUCAACUCAAAGUUGAAUUGACUCCUAGCUGAAACCGUCUGGAUGCAAGUCACCUUGGACCAUUGUUUUAUACUAUCUUUAAAAAUGGCAUGCUACUCAUCAUUAAUAAGGCUACUAUUUCUAUGUAUGCAGAUGAUUCAGUAAUAUGUAUGGCAGCUAAUAAUGAAAAGAGUUAAAUGUAGCUCUAUAUUCUGAGUUACAAUCAGUAUAAAUGUAUAAAGAACAAUAAAUUAAUUUCUAAUGUGUCUCAGACAAAUAGCAUGACAUUUGGUUCUAACCAGGCUAUUAGAAAAAAUCUGAUUUGUAAGGUUUCCACUAAUGUGCCUGUUGAUCAAGUCCAUGAGACCAAGUUUCCAGGUGUAAUUUUAGAGAGUAAACUAUCCUGGACAGAACAUACUAAUGAAAUUGUUGUUAAAAGUUGUUAAAACAUGAAAUGGUAUCUCUGUAGGUAAAAGAUAUGCAAAUGUUUUUGUCACCAAAAUUGAUCAAGCAGUUAAUCCAGGCAUUGCUCUUGUCUCAUCUUAAUUAUUGUCCAGUGGUACAAUGGACCAGAUUAAGAAACUAACAAAUCUUGUAACAAUGCAUUCAUGUCUUAACUGGUUAACAGCAAAACAUUCAUGACUUUACCCUUUACUUGUAUUUUUCAGAAAUAUUAUUGUUACAAAGAUUUGAAUUAUUUUUUUAUAAAACUAGUAUUUCAGUGUAGCUGGACAUUAAUAUUCUAACAGACAGGGAAUAAUUUAUAUUAUCCUCCUUAGCAAGAAGCAGUUUAGUUAAAAGAGCAGUUUUAUACAUUGGUUUGAAGGAAUGUAAAUUUUAUGUAAAUGUUUUGUUAUCAAUGAGCAUAAGCCUGAUAUGGGGCAAAAUUUGUGUUGCAAGAAGCUGUUUUUGUUGCCUGCAUGUGUGUUAUUGUGUGAUGAUGUUGUGUGUGUUUUAUAGUGCACUGUCACGUUUUAAAGAUUUGUGACCCCAGGAAGAAUAGCUGUUGCAUUACUGCAUAUUUGGGCUACAUGCUCAAUAUCCAGUUGAAUCUGAGAACAAAAAUGCUUAAAAGUUUGCUGAGUUUGCCCACAAAAAAGGGUUUGAAGCUUUUUCUCCUGGAUGUUUGUACUUCUACCACCAUCUUUACUGUUGCAAAAUGUUCCCAACUGUUUAAAUAUUUCCAUCUGGACCGCACAACAUCAUAAUGUCCGUUAAACACGCAACACGAAAUAUUGACUGAUAACAAGCUUAACAUAAACCAAUAUUCCUUCUGAAUGGAAUAUUUAAUUUGGAAUAUUUCUUGGCUUCUUUUUGAUGAAAUUUUGCCUCUCAGUUCCCGUACCAUUGGGCACCGUGGCAAUCAUUAAAUAUGCAUUACUAAUAUUGAAAAUAGCCGUCUGUUGUAUGUGAUGCAAGCAGUUUUUGGAGCAGAAUUGGGAGGUGUUGUUCUGUUUCUGAAGUUUUCCAGCUCACUUCUCUAAUCCAUACUGACAGAGGAAGCUCUACAGGAAGGCAGUACAACAGGGGCUCAGCUUCCACUAGUCUGUACUCUGCUGGGAGAGCAAGGUUCUUCCUUCAUACGUGGGAUGUAUUUUAGCAUGCCUAAAUAAAGAACAGUUCUUUCUUGCUGAAUGAAUAAAUCAAUGAAAUUAAUUCUGCUUUCAGUAGAAACACUUCCCUCAGUGAUAUCAAGGUCCUUGAGCCUUGCUUUGAUUAUUUCCAUCCAUUUUGGAUGCUAUAUUUUUUUUACGUCCUUGAUAAUGUAGUGUUAACGCUCCAAGGCCACAAAUAGCUUGAUCCAUCUAGGUCCCCUGUCCUCUUAAUGAAAGUGCAAAGACACUCGCCCUCUAUACUGAUGCCUCUUCCUGGCAGAUGGCUUGAUAGGCUCGCGCACAAGUCUGCCAAGAUGAAACGAUGCCUCAAUGCAAACAAUACUCACAAUAAGCCCUUUAAUAGCAUUUUCCCCCACUGCCAUAGUAACAGUCCUGUGUAAUAACUACUGAUACAGUAGAGUGAGCAGGAGGAGAUGAAGAAAUUUUCAGCAAAACAAAGAGACCCUGUCGGCUGAUGCAGUCAUCUGCAGGAGAGAGGAUGGGUCAAUAACAGACGCAGGGAUGAAUUGUUGGCCCUGUUGAGUGGAUCUGAGAUAGGGAUGUGCGUUCUCUGUGAAGGAAACAUAUUCCAGGGCAUAUCCAACAAAAAAUACUAUCUGCUUCACACAGAGAGUAUUGUUUUGGCGAUGAAAAGAAUCCAGCUGGCAAGCUCUGCCACGUUUCUCUCCUUGGAAGGAAUCGCAGUUAACAAUUUGGAGCAAGCAGCGCCUUGACUAAACAGAUAAUCAUAUUAUUGUAUUGCAUCUCCAUACAUUACGCACGCCUGCCGUAGACUGCAAGCGUGUGUAAUGUAUGUACAGCUCAGUAAAUAGAUCAAUCAGCGCACACAUCCACGGCCGCGCAGCAGGAAUGGAAAAAAAACACAACAACCUCUCCCCGUUUUUCUCACCUCACACACACUCUGGGAUAUUUGCAGUACUUUCAGACCUGUUGUCUGGGAGACCACUCCUUGUUUAGAUGUGUUGUCAAGGAAACAAAGAUGGAAAAAAAAUCUGCUCGUUGAAAUUUUUAGAGAAUCCAUCUGCUAGGUUGGAACAAGGAAAAAGUAACGCUCAGCCUAGUUGGACGAAUGCUUCCAAUAAAACAUAUCUUCCAAAGGGAAAGAGGUUUUAUUGAUUCUGCUACACUGUUAUUAAUAUAAAAAUGGAGCCGGCUUGUUGUAAAUAAGCCAGGUGGAUUCCUUUUUAUUGCAGUCCAGCGGAACCUUUUACCUAUUGAAUCGAAAAUUGCGUGGGACAAAAAUCUACCAUAUAAGUCAGGUAGCCCUCUGCAGUGUAAUUACUGCCGAGCCGGCCACCCGUCUCUGUAAUGCCGAAUAACAGGAUGUCCAAAUGCUCAUAAUCACCUAUGAUUACUGGUGAAAGGUUAAGCUGAUUCAAUCCCUCAGCCCAAUUUGCUACAAAAUCCAGGAAAAUACUACAAAGACCAUGGGAUUUGCAAGCCUGCUGGUAAGGGAUGCUGAAUGAUCAGAUUGUUGCUUUGGGAGAAUAAUAGCAUGUUCUGCAUAAGGAGUCGCAGCAUAAUUUCAUUGGAGUUGCUUUACCCGGGAGAAGAGCAGCAGCUGGACAUCCAAAGUAGCAGACAAACUGCAUAUUGUGUAAGCAGUUUAAAAAAAAAAAAACCCAGCAUGGCCUAAAUAUCUCCUCACAGCCUGAUUUCUACCCUUUUCACAAAUCUCCUGAUUCUGUCACAUCUUCGCUGUUUUACUCGACCGCUUUCCCUCCUUUGCUCCAUAUCUUCCCUUUCUCACAUUGCAUUCUCAGAAAUGUGUGACGCAGUCGUUCGGUAAUCAUAUCCUCACGCUGCUGUGAGGCUUGCGAGGCUUUAUCAGCAUGAUAAACCUCACAAAACACAUUUUUUUUUCCCUCCCUCAACCUCCUUUGACAAUCACAUGUUUUUAGAGGAUGAAUCAUUCAUUCAGCAUGAGAAUUGUUUUCGAACCGUACAGGCAGCAAGGUUCAAGAGGCUGCAUGUUUGGGAUUUGGGCUCUGCCAUGUCCCCCCGGUGUCACCUGGUGCUGAUCUGUGGCAUUCAAGGCUGACAGCCUCAAUCACAAGCAGCAGCAGCAGCAACUUCCACACUAAGGACCUCAGCCUUAAUCCCAGCGCUGCAGCACAAACACAUCACAACUCAUCAGCUCUGCAACAACAAUUGUUUGGCAACUCUUUGAGGAGCUUCCUCUUCUUUUCCUAAUUUCCUCUUGCACAUCAGGCUGCUCUGGUGAUUUCUGUUAAGAGCAGAGGCUGAGGUGCCAUCACAUGCCGUGAUGCUCCUGGGCGGCCUGGGACACAUCAGCUUCCCUAUGGCUGCAUCCGAGUGAGAAAGCCCUGUCAACACGUCCAGCUCAAGGGGCUCGUCUUAAGGAGUAGAGGGAAGCAGAGCAGAGAGGUGGAGGAUGACAGAGGCAAGGAGGAGGCGGGCGAGGGGAGGCAGGAAGCAGGAGUAGUCCAGGUCAUUGUUGGAUCUGACAGCGGAGGGCAAUGCCAAGCCUCAUUUAGAAUUCACUCCCUGAGAAGCAGCUGUUACAUCUUUUAUUGGAGGAACAAAGGAAUGGCGUGCUAUUUUCAUACGAGAGCAAUUUUCUUAAGAGAAGCAUCUAAAGGGACAAGAGGGAAACAGGAAUGUGUAUGUGUGUGUGUGUGUGUAUGUGUGUGUGUGUGUGGG